rnacentral:rRNA from 1 species
GACGAACGCUGGCGGCGUGCUUAACACAUGCAAGUCGAACGGAAAGGCCCUGCUUUUGUGGGGUGCUCGAGUGGCGAACGGGUGAGUAACACGUGAGUAACCUGCCCUUGACUUUGGGAUAACUUCAGGAAACUGGGGCUAAUACCGGAUAGGAGCUCCUGCUGCAUGGUGGGGGUUGGAUAGUUUCGGCGGUUGGGGAUGGACUCGCGGCUUAUCAGCUUGUUGGUGGGGUAGUGGCUUACCAAGGCUUUGACGGGUAGCCGGCCUGCGAGGGUGACCGGCCACAUUGGGACUGAGAUACGGCCCAGACUCCUACGGGAGGCAGCAGUGGGGAAUAUUGCACAAUGGGCGGAAGCCUGAUGCAGCAACGCCGCGUGCGGGAUGACGGCCUUCGGGUUGUAAACCGCUUUCGCCUGUGACGAAGCGUGAGUGACGGUAAUGGGUAAAGAAGCACCGGCUAACUACGUG